AUUCUGGAAUUACAGCUUCCUAGUGUGUCUGAGGAAAUCCAAUCUCUCCCACUCCAGCCCGCCUACUCAUUGAACAUGGCUGCUAUCUCUGUCUUCUGGAAACACGGCUCCAAUCCUGCAACAACUCUAUACAAGAGCUCCCAGUGAAAGCUUUCACUAGACCUUGAUGGCACUAUGGUCAUUAUCUUGUCAAAACUGUGGUGGAUUUGAAGAGCUAGUGAUGAAGAAUGGAGGUUUCCUGUCCUAGAAAUAACCAAAGGCCCAGGCUUGGAGGUGGCAGAAAAAGUGGCACUUAAGGUUAAAUUUCCUGGAUAAAAUCAGAUCAGCCGUGUAAUCACCCUGCUACAAUAAAAGGAGCUCAGUGUGCUUUAUGGCAACCACACCAGUCAAGGGCUCUCUCUGGCACCAAGGGAGCCAUAAGGGCCCCCUGCCAAGUGGAGCUGAGGGAUGCUCGAGGCCAGGGUCUGGACCUUCUCACUAUAAAAAGAAUAGUGAAGUAUACAGAUAUUUACCUACUGAGUUAUGUUUGGGCUGAUAAAAAUGCUCAGAUGUC
rnacentral:lncRNA from 1 species